rnacentral:rRNA from 1 species
CACGUAGGGUGCGAGCGUUGUCCGGAAUUAUUGGGGGUAAAGAGCUCGUAGGCGGCUUGUCGCGUCGACUGUGAAAUCCUUCGGCUCAACCGAAGAACGUCGGCCGAUACUGCCGUUCUUGAGGGAUGCAGAGGAGACUGGAAUUCCCGGUGUAGCGGUGAAAUGUGUAGAGAUCGGGAGGAACACCGGUGGCGAAGGCGGGUCUCUGGGCAUCUCCUGACGCUGAGGCGCGAAAGCGUGGGGAGCAACGGG